rnacentral:lncRNA from 1 species
UAUAAUUGUUGAAGACUAUUGGAUGUGUUAACUUGAACUAAAGUGUAGAUUUAUGAUCUAACCAGGAAUCUUUGCCAUUGAGUAGAUAUUUAGAUUUUGAGAUGCUUAUGUGAGUUAUCAUAUGUAGCAUUGAUCAUACAUAUUAAGAAUCUUGGUGAAGAAAGAUUUGAAGGUUGAUAGAGUUAAUUUCUAAUCAUAGUGAUAUUGGCUCAAUGAUUUUUAACACAUUGAAUUUGAAGUAAAUUCUUUUGGAAGGAAGGUUAAUCUAAAUUAUGUAAUUGAAUUGCUAAGAAAUCCAGAGUUAAUUAAAUUUGGAUAUUUUGGAUUCUAAGUUGUGGAGAUCAUGUAGUGACCUUAAACUUGAUUAAUGGCUUGAGGGUUAGUUAUGGUUAGUAUACUCUACAUAAAUUUCAAUUAAAGUUUGAAAUCUGGAUUUUCUUAUUCCUAGUGCAAAGUGAUAUUUCGGUCAUAAAUCAUUUAGAGACCUUAGAGUAUUUAAUGGAUUAAAUCAGAGUGCACAGCGGAAGUGUGGUGGUUUGAGUUAUUUUGAAAUUGGUUAAGAACAUUAAUAUUUGAUGUAAAAGGUAUUAUGAUGGAACACUUGAGUUAGUUUCUAAUAGAGGAGAAUGUUGUUGAUUCUAUGGAUGAUCUAGAGGUAGCUAU